rnacentral:lncRNA from 1 species
UGACCCCUGCAACGAAUUGCAAAUAUGGUAAGAGCUAUCAAUAUCCAAUACCCAGUCAGUUAUAUCAUAAAUAGAGAAAUUGCAAGGAGUUAUCAUAUAAAUACCUUACUCAGCAACAGCUUGCUUCUUUCUCUUCUUGUUAGGGUCCAGGGAGGCAAUGCACUAAGGACAGUUCCUCUUUCAGUGCCCCCGCUUCUUGCAAAAGAAGCAUUCA